rnacentral:lncRNA from 10 species
UUUUUUGAGACAGAGCCCACACUGUUGCCUGGGCUAGAGUGUAGUGGCACGAUCUCAGCUCACUGCAACCUCUGCCUCCCAGAUUCAAGAGAUUCUCCUGCCUCAGUUUCCCGAGCAGCUGGGAUUACAGAUGCCCGCCACCACACCCAGCUAAUUUUUUGUUUUUUUAGUAGAGACAGGGUUUCCCCAUGUUGGCCAGGCUGGUCUCAAACUCCUGACCUCAUGAUUUGCCCGCCUUGGCCUCCUAAAGUGAUGGGAUUACAGGCGUGAGCCACCGCACCCGGCCUGUAUUCAUAUAUAUAUAUAUAUGGAAGUACAGGCUCCAAAGCCCCCAUACUAUUUCCUGUUUCCUCUCCCUUGCACUGGUACAUGUUUGAUAUAUACAACUUUUCAAUAUUUUGGCAGCUUCACCUGUGAUUUUUUUUUAAUAAAAAAAGAAGGGGCAGGAGGUGACAGUAAUCAUCACAAUUUAUUUUUUCUUGUCACAUGAAAAGAAACAAAUCUUUGUGAAAUAAUUUAAUACUUUGAAGGGUGACCCAGAAACACAAGUAAUGGCUAUCAAUGCCUCUUCCAGCCAGUGAAGCUACAAGAACAAGGGAGUCCAAUGCUUCUUUUGAAGAAAGCUUUAAAUUCAUGGCACUAUUUUGGAAUAUGAGAAAAAUAUUUUAAAAUGCAUUUCUUGGCCUCUCUUGUUUUGUUUUGUUUCCUUCCUGCUGCUCUUGGGGAGUAUUAAUAAAAGAGAUGGGAUAAGUGAAAAACACAAGACAGAGAACUAUUUAUUUUUUUUCAGUUUUUUUGCCACUGAAAUGAAAAGAUUAUAAUAAUAAUAGUCACCAUUUAUUAAACUCUGCUAAGCACAUCAUGGCCUGAUUCAAUCCUUUUAGCAUCAUACAAGGAAGUUAUUAUCUCCCCUUUACAGAGAAGGCUGUGGCUGGGGAGGUAGGGGUUGAGAACUUGCCUGAAGUCAUAGCACAUCCUAGCUGCUAGGAACUAUUUUCUGAGCUAGGCUCUUCACACUGACCAUCUUAUAAAGUCUCUCACAGCAUCCCUGGAAUAAAUGCAUUAUUGUCAACAUUUUUAUAACUUACAAAAGGCUAAGUGGUAAAUUGAGGGUAGAAUUCAAACUGAGGUCUUUCCAACUCCAAAACAUGUGCUGUGAUGACCGUGCCAUAAACUUUCUCGUACCUUGUCAGAACAAAUGUACUGAAACUACCAUAGUUUCAGAACUGUAAUAAUCGAUGCAUAGUCCCCAUUGGUAGAUUUAGUGUUUUACAAUAGAGUUUCUGAAAAGCAGUUUUAAAAUACCCUUCAGCAAGCAUUUACUGAGGCCUCGUCUAGGCCAGGACUUGGGCUGGACAUUGCAGGCAUGGCCACAGUAACGAUGACUCAGAACUUGCCCCCAAGGAGUUCACAGUCUGGGAGCAUUGGGGAGAGGAGCAGAAAGUAAACUAGAGAGCACAAAACACAAAGUCACACUCUUGUAUAACAUACACUCAGUAAAAAGGAGGCCCACUAGAGCAGGGUUUCUCAACCUGGCACUAUUGCAUUUGGGGCUGUCUGAGUCUUGCUGUGGGGGCUGCCUGUGCAUUGUGGGGUAUUAGCAGCAUCUCUGAAUUCUACUCAGUAGAUACCAGUAGCCCCCCCACAACCAAAAAUGUCUCUGGACAUUGCCAAAUGUCUCCUGAGGUUGGGGGAGUGAGAAUCACUGCCCCACAGUUACAUCCUGGCAGAGUUAAGCAAUGAAACAAAAUCACUGGCCAUUAAUAAUACUAUAUGAUUUUCAAUUAAGAGCUUAUUUACACACCAAGUACCUUAGAAACCUGAUCUCAUCCCAUCCUCAUCAAAACCUUAUGGUGUGUACAAGCUGGAAUGAUGCCUAUUUUAUAGGUUAGGGCACUGAGGCACAAAGAGUUUAGUGGAUGCCUAGCUGCACAGUAGUGACCGAUAGAGCAGGCAUUUGAAGCCUGCCCUGCCAUCUUAGUCAGUGCACCGAGAUAUGAAGAGCAUUUUUAAAGUGUGCUAGGCUCUUUCAUUUUCAUUACAUGUCCACUGAUAUGGUUUGACUCUGUGUCCCCACCGAAAUCUCAUGUCGAAAUGCAAUCCCCACAUGUUGGAGGAGGGACCUGGUGGGAAGUGAUUGGAUCAUGGAGGUGGAUUUCCCUCCUACUGUUCUCGUGAUAGUGAGUGAGUUCUCAUGAGAUCCAAUGGUUUAAAAGUGUGUGGCACUUCCUCCCUUCACUCUCUCUCUCUCUCCGGCCACCAUGUGAAGAUAUGCGUGCUUCCCCUUCACCCUUCUGCCAUGAUUGUAAGUUUCCUGAGGCUUCCCCAGCCAUGCCUCCUGUACAGCCUGUGGAACUUCAGGACCUGGGAGAGAAAAAAGCUACCAGCAACAUUCAGACUGAGAGAGGCCAAAAUACUAAUUCAUAAUUAGCCUGGUACAUAUGAAGGAUCAAAAAGAACAGGACUGUAUGUCUGACCUCUGACAGGUAUGUAUCAGUGUACACAGCCACGCCAGAUGAUGUCAGGUGGUGUGCUGUGGUCUCAAUGACUUGGUUUGAAGGAAGAAUCACUUGUAGGUUGGACACUGUUUAUAUGCCUGGCUCAAGUUUGCCCUUGUAACCAUUUAAGCGGAAACAAAGGAGAGCCAGAUCUGCUAGUUAGUGUAAUAAACCUCCCACAAGAAGAAGGGAGACUGGCCAACUUAAAAUGCAAGGCAAGUUAUUUUCAUGCACUUGUAAAUUACAUUAUGAAUAAGUGUUGGGAAACAUUGGGCUGAUAAAAAAUUUACAAUUGAUAUCUUCAAUUACUACAUGAAGCAAAUAUGAAGUAAAGAACCAACCUGAAUGUAAUCACACUAUAGAUAUUUCACAUAUUUCCACAACUGUUUCCACUAAUUCUGACAGAAUGUCCCCCAUUCACCACAAAUAUGUUUGCCCUAUAUUAAAAUAAUAAGCUAUUUAAAUAACAAGCCUUGUGUUCCUGUAUGCAUAGAAAAUGGUUCAAUUCUUUCUGGCUCAAAUCCUUUAUAAGCAAUCAAACAUCCUACCCCAUUGUCAAUCUGGCCAUCUCCUACUCAUCUUUUUAGGUUUAUACUUAAAUGUCACUUUGAUAAUGGUUUAUUCCCUAACCUCUUAAUUGUAAUUAAGUCCCCAUAUACAUUCCCUCUUCAAAUUUGCACAUUUUAUUCCAAGCAUUUAUAGCAAUUUAUAAUUUUAUGUGUGUGCUUAUUUCUUUAAUGCCUGUCUUCUCAUUUAAUAUCUUUUCUACCCCUGUAUAUCCAGGCCCUACCACCAUAGUAGAGACUCAGUAUGUAUACUUAAUGAAGGAAUAAUGAAUACAUCAGCAAGAGAAAUAAGAGUGACCAUAUGUUCCUUAAGAGAAGCAAAGAGCAGCUCCUGUUCCUGCUGGAAUGAGUCUCCAUUCCUUGCAACAGAAGUGUCCUAAGUUAUAGCCAGAGGACGGGGGCACAUUGACAAAACAUAAAGCGGAUAUGAUAAUAACAAGGUACCAUUCCAGCAAGAACAUCUGAAGAAAGAAGCAGUGUUGUUUAUCUUUCCUUCAUCUAUUCUGAAACUAAAAUCCUUAACCAAAUUUAUUUCCGAAGUUUAACCCUUUAAUAAACUGGCCUCUGACUCCACCUGGUGGAGAUACAUAAAUCUAUGAAAAUAAACCAAUCCAAAUGAAGAUUUUAAAGUCAUCAGCUCUCUUUCAUGUCUCAAAGAAAAAACACAUAUCCCGAAAUUCAAAUAGAUGACCUUCUCGGAUGUGUUAUAGGCACUCAGAAGCCCCAAAGAAAAAAUAGUUUGAGUUGAUCAUUUGACUGUUGCUCUCAGCCUUCAUUUCUGCCUUUCUAGGUUGUGUCAGGCAUUUUGACUGUCCAGGGGCCCUGCAUAUUCUAUUUUCCUAGUUACUUGCUAAGGUUUGAAUAUUUGUCCCCCUCCAAAACUCAUGUUGAAAUUUAAUCCCAAAUGUGGCAGUAUUGAGAGGUGGGGCUUUUCAGAGGUGAUUGGGUCAUGAGAGCUCUGUUCUCAUGAGUGGAUUAAUCCAUUCAUGGAUUAAUGGAAUAAUGGACUAAUGGAUUAAUGAGUUAUCAUAGGAGUGGGACUGGUGCCUUUAUAAUAAGAGGAAGAGAGACCUGAGCUAGCACACUCACCCUCUUCACCAUGUGAGGUCCUGUGCCACCAUGGGACUCUGCAGAGUCUCAUCAGCAAGAAGCCACUUACCAGAUGUGGCCCCUUGACCUUGGGCUUCUCAGCUUCCAUAACUGUAAGAAAUAAAUUUCUUUGUAACUUGCCCAGUUUCAAGUAUUCUGUUAUAAGGAACUGAAAAUGGACUAAGAUACUUUCCUAUUGGCUUCUGGUUAGUUUCUAUCAAUAAGAAUUACUGGUAGAAGUUUGAAAGGUAGGAGUGGAGAGAUGGGACCUUUUUUAUUUUAGUUUCUAUUGGCAUUUUCCAGCAGCAAGGAACAAUGGGCAUUUCAUCAUCAUCUUUUAGCAUUUCCAGCACCCACAGCAAGGAGUCCUUUCACCUGCUUAGUAGCAGCCCUUCAGUAAUCCUAGCAUCUAUUUUAGGUGGUGUUUCAUUUGUGGUCUCAGGACUGGCCCAGGUAGUUCUCUUCUCCAUGAUUCUGGACUCUGGUGAUUCCAUCACCUCCACGUACGCCUUCAGCCAGAAGGACUGUCGCUGUUCCCAGCAGCCAUUUAGCAUAGUUACCUAAGUGUAACCAAAUUCCUGUAUUAUAUUCACUUGUUUGAAAAACCUUGAGUGAUUUCUGACCCACUUCUGUCUCAAGGCCUGAAUAUUCUGAUUCAGAUGAAUUUCAGAAAAUGGAAAAAAAAACUUAGUGAAUAAAAAAGAUUAAAUAGUUUUUAGAAAACCAUAGGAGACAAAAAAGCAACUGGAAGUCACACACACACACACACACACACACACAUUCUUUUAACUUUAUAAGUUAUAAUAAAUUAUGGUAAAAGAGUGACAAGUUUACCUACAUGAAUAUUGAAGCCUUUGUAAAAUCUUUAAAGAAAAAAGGGUACCAAUACAACAGAAAAUUUCAGACUGGAAAAAUAUUGGUAGUCAUCGUCUUAGUUUGAGCAUUUAUCAAUUGCAUUAUAGCAAAACCCUCCAAACUGCUCUCUCUGCUUUGAUUGUCUCUUUUUUUUCCAAAUCUUUUCUGCAUAUUGUCAAAGUUACAUUUCUAAGGAGCAAAUUAAAUGCUGUCACUAUGCUCUUUGAAUUAUCAGUCAACAAAGAGAUUUUUUAAACUAAUUAAUUUAUAAUUAUCCACAGAAAUACAUAUUAAAAGGACAGUGAGGUGUCUGCUAACUCUUUACUCUCUUGGAUGCAGCUUAAUUUCUUCUUCCAGGGACACUUUUCUGACAAUUUUGUUCUUAUACAAUUAUAGCAUUUUUUUUUCUUUUUUUGAGACAGGGUUUCACUCUGUCACACAGGCUGGAGUGCAGUGGCAUGAUCUUGGCUCACUGCAACCUCCGCUUCCUGGGUUCAAGCAAUUCUCAUGCCUCAGCCUCCAAAGUAGCUGGGAUUACAGGCAUGCACCUUCACAUUCAGCUCAUUUUUUUUUUUCUGUAUUUUUAGUAGAGACAGGGUUUCACCAUGUUGGCCAGGCUGGUAUUGAACUUCUGACCUCAAAUGAUCCGCCCACCUCGGCCUCCCAAAGUGCUGGUAUUACAGGCGUGAGCCACUGCGCCUGGCCAGUUAUAGCAAUUUUAAAAACAAUAUUCUAAUCAUGUCCUUUGCAG